rnacentral:tRNA from 1 species
GGGUGUAUAGCUCAGUGAUAGAGUGCAUGUUUCACAUGCACAACGUCCUGAGUUCAAUCCCCAGCACUUCCA